rnacentral:rRNA from 1 species
GAUGAACGCUGGCGGCGUGCUUAACACAUGCAAGUCGAACGGUGAACGAGGGAGCUUGCUCCCUCCGGAUCAGUGGCGAACGGGUGAGUAACACGUGAGCAAUCUGCCCUGGACUCUGGGAUAAGCGUUGGAAACGACGUCUAAUACCGGAUACGAGGCGUGGGGGCAUCCCCAACGCCUGGAAAGAACUUCGGUCCAGGAUGAGCUCGCGGCCUAUCAGCUAGUUGGUGAGGUAACGGCUCACCAAGGCGACGACGGGUAGCCGGCCUGAGAGGGUGACCGGCCACACGUGGACUGAGACACGGCCCAGACUCCUACGGGAGGCAGCAGUGGGGAAUAUUGCACAAUGGGCGCAAGCCUGAUUCAGCAACGCCGCGUGAGGGACGACGGCCUUCGGGUUGUAAACCUCUUUUAGCAGGGAAGAAGCGAAAGUGACGGUACCUGCAGAAAAAGCACCGGCUAACUACGUGCCAGCAGCCGCGGUAACAC